rnacentral:rRNA from 1 species
GACGAACGCUGGCGGCGUGCUUAACACAUGCAAGUCGAACGAAAAGGCCCUGCUUUUGUGGGGUGCUCGAGUGGCGAACGGGUGAGUAACACGUGAGUAACCUGCCCUUGACUUUGGGAUAACUUCAGGAAACUGGGGCUAAUACCGGAUAGGAGCUCCUGCUGCAUGGUGGGGGUUGGAAAGUUUCGGCAGUUGGGGAUGGACUCGCGGCUUAUCAGCUUGUUGGUGGGGUAGUGGCUUACCAAGGCUUUGACGGGUAGCCGGCCUGAGAGGGUGACCGGCCACAUUGGGACUGAGAUACGGCCCAGACUCCUACGGGAGGCAGCAGUGGGGAAUAUUGCACAAUGGGCGGAAGCCUGAUGCAGCAACGCCGCGUGCGGGAUGACGGCCUUCGGGUUGUAAACCGCUUUCGCCUGUGACGAAGCGUGAGUGACGGUAAUGGGUAAAGAAGCACCGGCUAACUACGUG